rnacentral:lncRNA from 1 species
CAAUUGCUUACAUAUUCAGAAAAAAAAUUUUAGACUUUUUAAUUUAUUUUUUAUAAAAAAUUAAAAUUAAAAGUACUUUUUCAACUUUCCAAAUUAUUUCAAAUAUAUAUCUUUAAAGUUAAAUUCUGAUAAUAAAUAGCUAACAACCAUUGUUAUCCCCGUAAAAUUAUUAUUUUAUUUUUUUAAAUAUAUUCUUGUAUCUUGAUCAACUUUUCUUAAUUGCUCUUACGUUAGGAAUAAAAAAAGUAUUUUAAUUUUUUACCUUUUCAAAAAUAUCAUUCUAUUACAACCAACUUUUCUUACUUGUCUUCAUGUUAAGGACAAAAUAAGUAUUUUGAUUUUUUGUCUUUUCAAAUAUAUCAUUUACUAAUUUUUCUUAUUUAUUUUUAAGUUAGAGAUAAAAUAAGUAUUUUGAUUUUUUUAAAAAUUCUGAUAGAUAUUUAACUCACGUUUAAUUUGAGAUAACUCAAUAAGUAAUAACUGCGGAGAUUUUUUUGAAUAAUAAAAAAAUAUAUGAGGAAUAUGUUUGAAACAAAAAAAAAUAUUUUUGAAGUUUUUGAAAGGUACAGAAAUAAUUAUCUAAAUAUAAAAACACUACCGACUAUCCCUAUAGCAAGUGGCAAAGGGCUUAGUGGUUGAUAUUCGAGACCCAAGUUUGAAUCCUAGUUGAUUCACAUCUUUAGCUAAAUUUAUUUCUAAAUAAAAUACACAAAACAAAUAAUAUACUAUUUAUCUUUCAAAAUAAAAAUAAAAAUAAAAACACCGACUACUUAAGCUUGUAAAAG